CAGUUAACCACCAUUGUCUUCAGCAGCACCUGAUCCUGCUGCGGAAUCGCGCUGAAUGUGUCGUUGAUGCCAUUCAGGUGCUCGUAGAUCGGCAGGAUCAGCUUCUUCAUGUAGCGCUGCAUUGAGGGUACAUAAAUUCAUUUAAAAAAA